AGUCGCCGCGGGAAUACAGAGGGUGCGAGCGUUAAUCGGAUUUACUGGGCGUAAAGCGUGCGUAGGCGGCUAAUUGAGUCGGAUGUGAAAUCCCCGAGCUUAACUUGGGAAUUGCAUUCGAUACUGGUUAGCUAGAGUGUGGGAGAGGAUGGUAGAAUUCCAGGUGUAGCGGUGAAAUGCGUAGAGAUCUGGAGGAAUACCGAUGGCGAAGGCAGCCAUCUGGCCUAACACUGACGCUGAGGUACGAAAGCAUGGGGAGCAAACAGGAUUAGAGACCCCCGUAGUCCCUGUCUCUUAUACA
rnacentral:rRNA from 1 species